UACGUAGGGGGCAAGCGUUGUCCGGAAUUAUUGGGCGUAAAGAGCGCGUAGGCGGUCCGAUAAGUCGGCUGUGAAAGUCCAGGGCUCAACCCUGGAAAGCCGGCCGAUACUGUCGGACUAGAGUCCGGAAGAGGCAAGUGGAAUUCCCGGUGUAGCGGUGAAAUGCGCAGAUAUCGGGAGGAACACCGGUGGCGAAGGCGGUUCUCUGGGCAUUACCUGACGCUGAGGAGCGAAAGUGUGGGGAGCGAACAGG
rnacentral:rRNA from 1 species